rnacentral:lncRNA from 1 species
UUUGGCUACAAAGGUUAUGACCACCAGCGCCACCUCCAUUGAAAAGCAACUUAUACAGAUGAACGAGGUGAUCACGAAGCUGACAAGGUCAGUCGAGGAGAAUAACUUGCAGAUCACUACGCUCAGGUUGGAGUCGGAUCAUGACAAAGAAGUCAACCCUAACCUGAAGAAGAAUUGGCAUAACAAAGAGUCUGGUGAAUAUGAGAUGUAUCAAGUCGAC